rnacentral:lncRNA from 1 species
ACGAAACGAGCCGCGCCCUUUCUCGAAGAAGAAGGAAGCAAUUUCCCCGCAGAAAGCGCAGAAGUCCCAGGCAAGAGCCACUGUGUCGCGCCAGCCAGGAAGCCUGUGGACCUCCAAUUUACAGCGUCGCUGUUGAGACGGGAGGACGAGAAAAACGAGAAAAAGAACAAGUUCACCACGAACAAGAAGAGGUGUGCAACCAAAUUGCGCUAUGCUCGCUGGAGACUGCGGGUCCAGAACGCGCAGAAAUUCCCCAGUUUUCUCGCUGGAAAUGGUCCUCACAGUCGGUUUCUCCUGUGCAGCGGCAAUACGAGGAGAAAGUCAACGAAUCCUCUUUGUCACUUGGCAGCGACGCUUCUCCGUGUCGAGAAACAGUUUCACAGGGUGACUGAAUAGGAGAGUACGAGAGAAACACAGAAGGACCUGGCUGGGAGGAACAAGCGUGGAGAGCUUGAGGGGAAGAGCGGCGAACAACGAGAUACCCUGUCAAGAAAAAGUUGUGAUGACGUUUCACAGGCAUCUGUACGGACUCCAGAAAAGGAGAAAAGCAGAGCUGUUCCGUGAGCUUCGCCGUAGGCGAGUCCUCGUCUCUCCACUCCGGUCGCGCUUCUGUGCUUCGGCUGGAAUAAAGGAGUACUCCCGACAGUUGCCCUUCCACUUUAUAUUUCAACAAGUCCUGGAUCGGAAUUCAUCUUUCAACUUGAAAACCUCCCGCCUUCCUAGUCUGUGUACAUUCAGCUCUGAUCCCAAGCCUGUGAAAGUACACUGCUGGAGGAGUUUCUCGUCAAAAAAGGCUUCACAGGGCUUCUCGAAUCAAAACAACAGAAGAAGAACAGACGUGACUUCCACUCCGAAAAGUUGCGAAACACAC